rnacentral:rRNA from 1 species
GAUGAACGCUGGCGGCGUGCCUAAUACAUGCAAGUCGAGCGAACGGACGAGAAGCUUGCUUCUCUGAUGUUAGCGGCGGACGGGUGAGUAACACGUGGAUAACCUACCUAUAAGACUGGGAUAACUUCGGGAAACCGGAGCUAAUACCGGAUGAUAUUUUGAACCGCAUGGUUCAAAAGUGAAAGACGGUCUUGCUGUCACUUAUAGAUGGUUCCGCGCUGCAUUAGCUAGUUGGUAAGGUAACGGCUUACCAAGGCAACGAUGCAUAGCCGACCUGAGAGGGUGAGCCGCCACGCGAGGACGGAGACCCGGAACAGACCUCAAAGGGGGGCCAGAGUAGGAAAUCGUCCGAAAGGGGCGAACGUCGGACGGAGCGACGCCGCGUGAGUGAUGAAGGUCUUCGGAGCGUAAACCUCUGUUAUGAGGGAAAAAGAUAUGUGUAAGUACCUGUGCACAUCUAGGCGGUACCUAAACAGAGCGCCGCCGAGAACUGCG